GAGAGAGAGAGAGAGAGAGAGAGAGAGAGAGAGAGAGAAUCUGAAUUGGAGGAGCGAACACUGUUCCUCCUAAAGGAAACCAAUUUCUCUUGAAGUCAGGCAGGCCUGCGAGAGGAGCUAUGAGCUUGGAAAAGGAAAAGCAGUGCUCAUGGAUGCUGCUGAGCCGGUCUGCUGAAAUUUAAUCAUUAAUAGUAAUUAUUGAGGCUUUCUUAGCCUAUGUGAUAUCAUCUGUAAAUCAUCAACAAUGAAUCACAGAACUAUAUGAUUACACAGCACAUGGAUUGGAAUUCAUAACUAUACACACAUAGAUCAAGAGUGCUUAGAAGGAAAUUCUACUCUUCUGGAAUACUGAAUGCAAAAUUAAAGUCUGCCACCGCAAGCAGAACUGGAAGAAAUGAAAUGGAAUAUGAAGCAUGGCCUUUUAAAGCGUUAUUAACAGCUAAUGUGUGCAUUUUGCCUGAAGAAUAAAAUAAUGUCAUUGAUGUAUCUUGAAUUCUGAUUUAUUUUGGUAAGUUACUUUGAAAUAUAUAGGAAAGAGACAUUAAUAGAGGCACUCAAUUCUGUCACCUCUUACCUUUUAUUUAAUAAUGAUUUAUUCCAAGACCACUAUUGUAAGACUACCUAAAAUCAUAAAUUUACCAGCUUCUCUUCAAAUUAAGAUGUUUAGUAUCAUUGAGAUUAAUUUCACUAUUUAUCACUGUCAGCUAAUUUACAUGCUGGCAUAUAUAUUCUAAGACAGAAUUUCUAUUUGCUUGAUUACUCUCUGGGAUAUGAAUUUAUUGGAAAGUUUCUCUGAUAAUCUCUUUCAAGGAGAUUUAAGAGUGUACCAGAGAAUGCUAGCAUGAAAUCUGGGUUGGAUGUUCAUUUUGUUGAAAGCUUUAUAUGAUAACAAAGCAAGUAUGCACACAGACACAGACACACACACACACACACA